GGUGAGUGUCAUUUCUGGAACUUCUGCUGAUUCAGCCGUUCCAAAAUUAACACUGGUGGAUUUUACUGUAAACCUGACUGGCUGGCAUUUCUCCGAAUUGCUGUUACAUGAAAGCAAAAACGGAAAGUUCAUUGAAAGUGGUCAGUCUUGCAAUUGCAUCCUACUAGAUCUGGCAACUUAUUACUGCUGUUUGCAGCAUUUUGUAUGGAAGCUUUC
rnacentral:lncRNA from 1 species